GAUGAACGCUGGCGGCGUGCUUAACACAUGCAAGUCGAACGGAAAGGCCCAAGCUUGCUUGGGUACUCGAGUGGCGAACGGGUGAGUAACACGUGGGUGAUCUGCCCUGCACUUCGGGAUAAGCCUGGGAAACUGGGUCUAAUACCGGAUAGGACCACAUUUUGGAUGGUGUGGUGGAAAGUUUUUCGGUGUGGGAUGAGCUCGCGGCCUAUCAGCUUGUUGGUGGGGUAAUGGCCUACCAAGGCGUCGACGGGUAGCCGGCCUGAGAGGGUGUACGGCCACAUUGGCACUGAGAUACGGCCCAGACUCCUACGGGAGGCAGCAGUGGGGAAUAUUGCACAAUGGGCGCAAGCCUGAUGCAGCGACGCCGCGUGGGGGAUGACGGCCUUCGGGUUGUAAACUCCUUUCGCUAGGGACGAAGCGCAAGUGACGGUACCUGGAGAAGAAGCACCGGCUAACUACGUG
rnacentral:rRNA from 1 species